GGAGGAAUACCGGUGGCGAAGGCGGCCCCCUGGACAAAGACUGACGCUCAGGUGCGAAAGCGUGGGGAGCAAACAGGAUUAGAUACCCUGGUAGUACACGCCGUAAACGAUGUCGAUUUGGAGGUUGUGCCCUUGAGGCGUGGCUUCCGGAGCUAACGCGGUAAAUCGACCGCCUGGGGAGUACGGCCGCAAGGUUAAAACUCAAAUGAAUUGACGGGGGCCCGC
rnacentral:rRNA from 1 species